rnacentral:tRNA from 1 species
UAAUUUAUAUGUAAUUAGUUAAAUUUAUAUUUAAUUAAAGUUAAAUUUAUAUUUA